GGGACCUGAUGCAGCCAUGCCGCGUGUGUGAAGAAGGCCUUCGGGUUGUAAAGCACUUUCAGUUGUGAGGAAAGGUUGGUAGUUAAUACCUGCCAGCUGUGACGUUAACAACAGAAGAAGCACCGGCUAACUCCGUGCCAGCAGCCGCGGUAAU
rnacentral:rRNA from 1 species